AUUGAACGCUGGCGGCAGGCCUAACACAUGCCAGUCGAGCGGAUGAAGGGAGCUUGCUCCUGGAUUCAGCGGCGGACGGGUGAGUAAUGCCUAGGAAUCUGCCUGGUAGUGGGGGAUAACGUCCGGAAACGGGCGCUAAUACCGCAUACGUCCUGAGGGAGAAAGUGGGGGAUCUUCGGACCUCACGCUAUCAGAUGAGCCUAGGUCGGAUUAGCUAGUUGGUGGGGUAAAGGCCUACCAAGGCGACGAUCCGUAACUGGUCUGAGAGGAUGAUCAGUCACACUAGAACUGAGACAAGGUCCAGACUCCUACGGGAGGCAGCAGUGGGGAAUAUUGGACAAUGGGCGAAAGCCUGAUCCAGCCAUGCCGCGUGUGUGAAGAAGGUCUUCGGAAUGUAAAGCACUUUAAGUUGGGAGGAAGGGCAGUAAGUUAAUACCUUGCUGUUUUGACGUUACCAACAGAAUAAGCACCGGCUAACUUCGUG
rnacentral:rRNA from 1 species